rnacentral:rRNA from 1 species
UAACUUUCAACAACGGAUCUCUUGGCUCUCGCAUCGAUGAAGAACGCAGCGAAAUGCGAUACGUAAUGUGAAUUGCAGAAUUCAGUGAAUCAUCGAAUCUUUGAACGCACCUUGCGCCCCUUGGUAUUCCGAGGGGUACACCCGUUUG